rnacentral:rRNA from 1 species
AUUGAACGCUGGCGGCAUGCCUUACACAUGCAAGUCGAACGGCAGCAUAGGAGCUUGCUCCUGAUGGCGAGUGGCGAACGGGUGAGUAAUAUAUCGGAACGUGCCCUAGAGUGGGGGAUAACUAGUCGAAAGACUAGCUAAUACCGCAUACGAUCUACGGAUGAAAGUGGGGGAUCGCAAGACCUCAUGCUCCUGGAGCGGCCGAUAUCUGAUUAGCUAGUUGGUGGGGUAAAAGCCUACCAAGGCAACGAUCAGUAGCUGGUCUGAGAGGACGACCAGCCACACUGGGACUGAGACACGGCCCAGACUCCUACGGGAGGCAGCAGUGGGGAAUUUUGGACAAUGGGGGCAACCCUGAUCCAGCAAUGCCGCGUGAGUGAAGAAGGCCUUCGGGUUGUAAAGCUCUUUUGUCAGGGAAGAAACGGUAGUAGCGAAUAACUAUUACUAAUGACGGUACCUGAAGAAUAAGCACCGGCUAACUACGUGCCAGCCGCCGCAGUAA